rnacentral:rRNA from 1 species
CCCUUAGAUGUUCUGGGCCGCACGCGCGCUACACUGAGUGUCUGAGAUACGAGUCUGCCUGGUCCGGCAAGGUCUAGGUAAUCGCUAAAAGACACAUCAUGCUUGGGAUAGAUUAUUGCAAAUAUUAAUCUUGAACGAGGAAUUCCUAGUAAGCGCAAGUCAACAGCUUGCGUUGAUUACGUCCCUGCCCUUUGUACACACCGCCCGUCGCUACUACUGAUUGGAUGUUUAAGCGGGGUUCUCGAACUGCUAGCGACUUAGCUUCGGUGAGGUCGCAGUGUGGGAAGUGAACCGAGCUUUGGUGUCUAGAGGAAGUAAAAGUCGUAACA